UAAAAAAAGUAAUAUAAAUUCACAAUCUUCGAUCAAUCAAUCUGCUGAGCAUGCGUAUUCAUUACGAAACGAAUUGGAUGGUCAUAAAAAUAGAAAAAGUAGUUUGAUAAAGGAUCAGAGCAAACAUAUAAGUUCAAAAAGAAGCAGAAGUAAAAAAAAUUCUACUCAGCAUGAAGAAGUUAUAACGUCACCCAUUACUGAAAGAGGUAGGAAUUUACGAAACAUGUCAAAAAA